rnacentral:rRNA from 1 species
UACGUAGGGGGCAAGCGUUGUCCGGAAUCAUUGGGCGUAAAGCGCGUGUAGGCGGUCCGGUAAGUCCGCUGUGAAAGUCGGGGGCUCAACCCUCGGAUGCCGGUGGAUACUGUCGGGCUUGAGUACGGAAGGGGCGAGUGGAAUUCCUGGUGUAGCGGUGAAAUGCGCGGAUAUCAGGAGGAACACCGGUUGCGAAGGCAGGUCGCUGGGACGUUACUGACGCUGAGAAGCGAAAGCGUGGGGAGCAAACAGG